GAUGAACGCUGGCGGCGUGCCUAAUACAUGCAAGUCGAACGAAGCCUUCGGGCUUAGUGGCGGACGGGUGAGUAACACGUUGGUACCUACCUCGAAGUGGGGAAUAACUGGCCGAAAGGUCGGCUAAUACCGCAUGUGAUCGCAAGAUCAAAGUCGCAAGACGCUUCGAGAGGGGCCUGCGUCCCAUUAGCUAGUUGGUAGGGUAAUUGCCUACCAAGGCGACGAUGGGUAGCUGGAUCGAGAGGUUGACCAGCCACACUGGGACUGAGAUACGGCCCAGACUCCUACGGGAGGCAGCAGUAAGGAAUCUUCCACAAUGGACGAAAGUCUGAUGGAGCAACGCCGCGUGCAGGAUGACGGUCUUCGGAUUGUAAACUGCUUUUAUAUGGGAAGAUUAUGACGGUACCAUAUGAAUAAGGACCGGCUAACUACGUGCCAGCCGCCGCCGUAA
rnacentral:rRNA from 1 species